GCCAGUGUGGUGUAGUGGUUUGUGUGUUGGACUAUGACUCUGGAGACCAGGGUUUGAAUCCCAGCUUGGCCA